GUGGGCAAUCUGCCCUGCACUCUGGGACAAGCCCUGGAAACGGGGUCUAAUACCGGAUAUGACCGUCUGCCGCAUGGUGGAUGGUGUAAAGCUCCGGCGGUGCAGGAUGAGCCCGCGGCCUAUCAGCUUGUUGGUGAGGUAGUGGCUCACCAAGGCGACGACGGGUAGCCGGCCUGAGAGGGCGACCGGCCACACUGGGACUGAGACACGGCCCAGACUCCUACGGGAGGCAGCAGUGGGGAAUAUUGCACAAUGGGCGAAAGCCUGAUGCAGCGACGCCGCGUGAGGGAUGACGGCCUUCGGGUUGUAAACCUCUUUCAGCAGGGAAGAAGCGAAAGUGACGGUACCUGCAGAAGAAGCGCCGGCUAACUACGUGCCAGCAGCCGCGGUAAUACGUAGGGCGCAAGCGUUGUCCGGAAUUAUUGGGCGUAAAGAGCUCGUAGGCGGCUUGUCACGUCGGUUGUGAAAGCCCGGGGCUUAACCCCGGGUCUGCAGUCGAUACGGGCAGGCUAGAGUUCGGUAGGGGAGAUCGGAAUUCCUGGUGUAGCGGUGAAAUGCGCAGAUAUCAGGAGGAACACCGGUGGCGAAGGCGGAUCUCUGGGCCGAUACUGACGCUGAGGAGCGAAAGCGUGGGGAGCGAACAGGAUUAGAUACCCUGGUAGUCCACGCCGUAAACGGUGGGCACUAGGUGUGGGCAACAUUCCACGUUGUCCGUGCCGCAGCUAACGCAUUAAGUGCCCCGCCUGGGGAGUACGGCCGCAAGGCUAAAACUCACAGGAAUUGACGGGGGCCCGCACAAGCGGCGGAGCAUGUGGCUUAAUUCGACGCAACGCGAAGAACCUUACCAAGGCUUGACAUACACCGGAAACGUCUGGAGACAGGCGCCCCCUUGUGGUCGGU
rnacentral:rRNA from 1 species